UGCUUUUGUAUUCCUUCAAAAAGCAAUCGAAUUAUGACUAAAUUUUAUGGAUAGGUUUGUGCAAGUUUUUUUAGCGAAGGUGUUAUAAUUUUGGUUGUUUGAUUUGGUUGCCAAGCAUCAUUCAGCUAAGCCAAGCUAGAUAAUAAUUAAUAGUUGCAGUUCGGAAAUCUAAAGACAACGCACAUGACAACAAAAAGAAAUGUUUUAACAUUUUCAAAAUACCAGUGAAAAGGGAACAACCGAAAGAUUUCACCGGAAUAGGAUGGAUUUUAAUUGGUAGAGGACCGACUGGGGAAACCCUCCUACUUGGCAUUCCAAG